ensembl:lncRNA
GGGGAGACUAAUUUGUCUCUUCUGACUGUGUUUUUUUUGCUUUUUAACAUGCCUUGUAAUUUUUUUGAUGAUACCCAGUUAUGAUGUAUCGGUACAAGGAACUGAGGCUGGAGUACAGUGGCAUGAUCAUGGCUCACUGCAGCUUUGACCUCCCAGGCUCAAGCAAUCCUCCCUCCUCAGCCUCUUGAGUAGCUGAGACUACAGAUAUGCACCACCAUGCCCAGACAUCCUCACUCCUGGUUGCUGCGCCUGCAAACUCCAUCAAGACCCUUGGCUGUCCCAGUUCUCAGGCCUGCGGGUUUGGACUGGAACUUCACCACUGGCUGUCCUGGGCCUCCAGCUUGCAAACGGCAGAUUACGGGAUUUCUCAGCUUCCAUAAUCACGUUUGGAGGCUGGGAAGUCCAAGAUCAAGCCAGUGACACAUACAGUGUCUGGGGAGAGCCUGCUUCUUGGUUCAUUGGCUCCAUCUUCUCACUGUGUCCUUACAUGGUGGAAGAGACAAGAUAAUUCUCUGGAGUACCACUUACAGAAUCACCUUAUAGUAGGGCACUAACCCCAUUCAGGAGGGCUGUGAUCUCAUGAUCUAGUCAUCUUCUGAUAUGGUUUGGAUCUGUGUCCUUGCCCAAAUCUCAUGUGGAAUUGUAAUCCCCAAUGUUGGAGGUGGGGCCUGUUGGAAGGUGACUGGAUCAUGGGGGCAGAAUUCCCAUGACGGUUUUAUACUAUCCCUGUUGGUGCUGUUCUCCUGAUAGUGAGCGAGUUCUCAUGAAAUACGGUUGUUUAAAAGUGUGUAGCAUCCCCUCUGCCUCUUGUUCCUGCUGCCAACACGUAAGACGUGCCUGCUUCCCCUUUGCCUGCCACUGUGAUUGUAAGUUUCCUGAGGCCUCCCUAGAAUCACGAGUUGCUAUGUUUCCUGUAGAACCCGCAGAUUUGUGAGCGAAUUAAACCUCUUUUCUUUAUAAAUUACCCAGUCUCAGGUAUUUGUUUAUAGCAAUGCAAGAACGGACUAAUACACUUCCCAAAGGCCCCCCCCCAAUGCCACCUCCUUGGGGGUCAGGUUUUCAGUGUAUGAAUUUUGGAGGGACACAAACAUUUAGAACAUAACCAGUUCUCAUAACAUAAACAGAGUCCUUUUUGUGUCACUUUUUUGCAUCGUUGUGCUUUUUGUUGGUGAUUUUACUGUUUAAAAUGGCUCCCCAGCAGAGUGCUGCGUGCUGUUCAGUGUUCCUAGGCACAAAAAGGCUGUGUGACAUAACUUCCAGGGAAAAUACAAGUGUUAGAUAAGCUUUAUUUAGGCAUGAGUUACAGGGCUGUUAACCAUGAGUUCAAUGUUGAUAAAUCAACAAUGUACGUUAAAUAAGAAAUAAGGUGUCUUUAUACAGAAACACACACAAAAAAGGGUUAUAUCGUGAUUAGUUGAUAAAAAUGUGACCGGGUCUUGCAGGAACGUAUAACUCUGUGUUUCCCCUAGGAGAAUUAUUUGGUAAUUCAGUGUUUGUGGUGACUUUAUAGAACAUAACUACCAUGAAUUGUGAGAAUCAACUGUAUUUGUUUUUUGAAAAUUAAACACAAAUGCUUUC